UACGGAGGGUGCGAGCGUUGUCCGGAAUCACUGGGCGUAAAGGGCGCGUAGGUGGCGGAGCAAGUCAACGGUGAAAGCUCGACGCUCAACGUCGAGUCGGCCGUCGAUACUGCUUUGCUGGAGCACUGUAGAGGCAGAUGGAAUUCCGGGUGUAGCGGUGGAAUGCGUAGAGAUCGGAAAGAACACCAACGGCGAAAGCACUCUGCUGGGCCGACACUGACACUGAGAGACGAAAGCUAGGGGAGCGAAUGGG
rnacentral:rRNA from 1 species